GGAGGCGCCCAAAGGUUCCCUCAGAAUGGUUGGAAAUCAUUCGCAGAGUGUAAAGGCACAAGGGAGCUUGACUGCGAGACCUACAAGUCGAGCAGGGACGAAAGUCGGGCUUAGUGAUCCGGUGGUUCCGCAUGGAAGGGCCAUCGCUCAACGGAUAAAAGCUACCCCGGGGAUAACAGGCUUAUCUCCCCCAAGAGUCCACAUCGACGGGGAGGUUUGGCACCUCGAUGUCGGCUCAUCGCAUCCUGGGGCUGUAGUCGGUCCCAAGGGUUGGGCUGUUCGCCCAUUAAAGCGGUACGCGAGCUGGGUUCAGAACGUCGUGAGACAGUUCGGUCCCUAUCCGUCGCGGGCGCAGGAAAUUUGAGAGGAGCUGUCCUUAGUACGAGAGGACCGGGAUGGACGCACCGCUGGUGUACCAGUUGUUCUGCCAAGGGCAUCGCUGGGUAGCUAUGUGCGGACGGGAUAAGUGCUGAAAGCAUCUAAGCAUGAAGCCCCCCUCAAGAUGAGAUUUCCCAUUCCGCAAGGAAGUAAGAUCCCUGAAAGAUGAUCAGGUUGAUAGGUCUGAGGUGGAAGUGUGGCGACACAUGGAGCUGACAGAUACUAAUCGAUCGAGGACUUAACCA
rnacentral:rRNA from 1 species